AAUGAGAGUUUGAUCCUGGCUCAGGACGAACGCUGGCGGCGUGCCUAAUACAUGCAAGUAGAACGCUGAGGUUUGGUGUUUACACUAGACUGAUGAGUUGCGAACGGGUGAGUAACGCGUAGGUAACCUGCCUCAUAGCGGGGGAUAACUAUUGGAAACGAUAGCUAAUACCGCAUAAGAGUAAUUAACACAUGUUAGUUAUUUAAAAGGAGCAAUUGCUUCACUGUGAGAUGGACCUGCGUUGUAUUAGCUAGUUGGUGAGGUAAAGGCUCACCAAGGCGACGAUACAUAGCCGACCUGAGAGGGUGAUCGGCCACACUGGGACUGAGACACGGCCCAGACUCCUACGGGAGGCAGCAGUAGGGAAUCUUCGGCAAUGGACGGAAGUCUGACCGAGCAACGCCGCGUGAGUGAAGAAGGUUUUCGGAUCGUAAAGCUCUGUUGUUAGAGAAGAACGUUGGUAGGAGUGGAAAAUCUACCAAGUGACGGUAACUAACCAGAAAGGGACGGCUAACUACGUGCCAGCAGCCGCGGUAAUACGUAGGUCCCGAGCGUUGUCCGGAUUUAUUG
rnacentral:rRNA from 1 species